UAGGGAAUUUUGCGCAAUGGAGGAAACUCUGACGCAGCAACGCCAUGUGUGGGAUGAAGCAUUUCGGUGUGUAAACCACUGUCAGCAGGGAAUAAACGGCGGCUUCGGGCCGCUUUGAAUGUACCUGCAAAGGAAGCCCCGGCUAACUUCGUGCCAGCAGCCGCGGUAAUACGAGGGGGGCAAAUGUUGUUCGGAAUCACUGGGCGUAAAGGGAGCGUAGGCGGGUUCUUAAGUAAGGUGUUUAAUCCCGGGGCCCAACCCCGGACCGGCACUUUAAACUGGGAAUCUUGAAUAGUGGAGAGGUCAGUGGAAUUGGGGGUGUAGCGGUGGAAUGCGUAGAGAUCCCCAAGAACACCAGUUGCGAAGGCGGCUGACUGGACACAUAUUGACGCUGAGGCUCGAAAGCAUGGGGAGCAAACAGG
rnacentral:rRNA from 1 species